rnacentral:lncRNA from 1 species
AUGUUGGUUGCCUCUGCAUCUGUUUUCUCAGAACCUUCUUGUAGCUCCAAUGCAAACUCUAGUCCCCAAACUACUUCGUCCAUCGUUGGCCUAUCACUGCCAUGAUCGCUCAAGCAACUAACCACCACCACUCCGAACUGCCUUAAACACUCUGGUGCAAUCACACCCCUUAGUUCCGGAUCAAUUAUUUUGUGCAUGGUCCCCUUCCGAUAACAAAACUUCCACCAUUCCGCCAAACUAACUUGUUCUUUAGGUAGCCAGGGAAUCAUAACAGGUCUUGCACACAACACUUCAAGCAGAACAACUCCAAACGAGUAGACGUCAGAUUUAUCUGUGAGUUGUUGCGUUCGGUAAUAUUGGGGAUCCACAUACCCGAUGCUACCCUUCACCACCGUGCUAACAUGGAUUUUUGCUUGGUCUCUGGGGCCUAUCUUUGACAAACCGAAAUCAGACACUUUAGCAACCCAAUUUUCAUCCAGUAAGAUAUUUGUGGACUUGACAUCCCGAUGAAUUAUUAUAGCAGCCCAAUUUCUGUAUGGAACUCUUGAAAGCCUUGUGUUGAUGAUGCGUCGAGCCGUUUGAUUGCAACAAUAGUUUUAGCAUUAUCAAUGUCAAUAUGCCCUUUGUAUACCUUACCAAACCCUCCAUUGCCUAUGAUGAAAAUGUCAUCAAACUCAUCAGUAGCUGCUUUCAAUUCUGUAAGUGAGAAACGACGACAUCGAUCGGAUGGGAGCGUUGAAUGGGUGGACCUUGUAGAUCUGGACUCGCUACAAGCUGGUCCGUAUGAUGACUUGUCGUCGGCAGCAUCAUAGUGUUUGACCCGCCUUCGUUGCUGGAA